rnacentral:rRNA from 1 species
CCUACGGGAGGCAGCAGUGAGGAAUAUUGGUCAAUGGACGAGAGUCUGAACCAGCCAAGUAGCGUGAAGGAUGGCUGCCCUAUGGGUUGUAAACUUCUUUUAUAAAGGAAUAAAACGAGGCACGUGUGCCUUUUUGCAUGUACUUUAUGAAUAAGGAUCGGCUAACUCCGUGCCAGCAGCCGCGGUAAUACGGAGGAGCCGAGCGUUAUCCGGAUUUAUUGGGUUUAAAGGGUGCGUAGAUGGGUUGUUAAGUCAGUUGUGAAAGUUUGCGGCUCAACCGGAAAAUUGCAAUUGAUACUGGCAGGCUGGAGUACAGUUGAGGUAGCCGGAAUUCGCGGUGUAGCGGUGAAAUGCUUAGAUAUCACGAAGAACCCCGAUUGCGAAGGCAGCUUACUAAACUGUGACUGACAUUGAUGCUCGAAGGCGAGGGUAUCAAAAAGGAUUAGAUACCCGUGUAGUC